GGCGCUUAAAACUAUACGGAUCGUGUGCGAACGGGUUCCAGAAGUCGGUAGCCAGCGGCGUUAAAAAAACAGAUUGCCAUAAAGGUGAACAAUUAUUUAAUUAUACGGCUCGUGGCUUCUGGCUCUUGUCUAAUCUAGACGAACGAAGAACCGCAACAAUACUUGGAUCCCCGCAGACGGCUAACUACUAUAAAAUAGGCCAUAAACAAAUUGCUCUGACGCAGAGAAUUAAAAAAUAAGUCGCUUGAAGAGAGCGUUGU